UCUUCUUCCCUUACCUUUCCCUGCGUCGUCCCCUAAAGACAAAACCUAAGCCGCAUCUCAAAAUUUCAGUUAUGUUGUUCGCGUCCCGUUCUCUUCUCCUCAUUUCGAACACUCUUUCUCUUCGUUCCUCUGCGUCGCCGGCCACCACCUCCUUCAUGCCGACGCUGCUGGUGCGGUGGUUGCGAUGGUUAUUGCGUUGUUGUGGUUGAUGGUGUUGUCCUGCCUCCGUGCUCGGCUUUCCUCUGCUUGUCACCGCCAAUAAUGGUGGCCUACCAACACAACGUCAUUUAUAACUAAUUGCUAGCGCCGCCCAAUUAGGGUGGGGGAUUAGAUCUUGCAAGAAAGGCUUCGUCGGAGAUUCCAAUUUUAUGCCCGCCAGGGCACUCGGGGUCGCCUCUCUCUUAGUUUGAGCCGCCGCUACCGCCUUCUUUGCCGCCCUUAACGCCUCCGGCAUCCACAGUACUCCAAAGAGGAAAACAAAAUCAAUGACACAGCAGAACAGAGUGCAACCUCUGGAACAGAUCUAAGCAUAGUCCUUAAUGCGUGGUACUCAGCAGGAUUUUACACCGGCAAGUAUCUAACAGAACAGUCUCUUGCUCGUUAUUGAUUAAGUGUAACGAUAAAGAACGGAGGUAGCACAAUAGUUUAAAAACUUUAAAGAACGAAGCAACAUGAUUAAGUGUUCUUCCGGUUGCAUCAUGUGCGUAUGCUAUAGAAGCAAGUGAUAUAAACUAAUGAUGGUAUUCAACCGGAUUUGGUGUUACGAGAGGUUCUGCUUUGAUCCAUGAAUUCUACUCUAGAGAGGUUGCAAAUCCUUUCCUUGUACCAGUGGACACUACAUUCAGAAAUGGAGAGGCAACCAUAAAAGCCUUUGUCUCUGUUAAUUUAUCUCUUGGAGACCAGUCACUUGCUGCUCAAUUUCAGGAAAUUCCUGCAGAACUUCGAAUGUCAGAAGCAGAGAGGGUUGAAUGUUAGAUUGUUGCAUCUACAUGGGUCUUAUCAACUUGAUCAACUCAUCAUGUGUGAGGUCUAUACUCUGAGGAAUGCGCCUUAUGCUAGUGAGGAAAUUGAUGUGGUUCGUGAUCAAUGGGCUAGUUUUUUACCAGCAAAUAUUUAUUAUUGGCCUGAGCGCGCUUGAUCGAGUUGGUUUAGAUGUUAUAGAACAAUCUUUUAUAUUAAAAUGUAUGCGUACGUUGAAAUUGGAACAUAUAUUUAAAUGUACGUGCACUUUGGUUUCAUGUAUACAAAACAACAAUUAUUGUUUUUAUAUUUGUUAUACAGGUUGCGAUAUUCUAUUAUUGUUGUGACAGGUUUCUAUAUUUGGUGCAAGGCACUCUAGGUAUCCCUAAACAAAAUUAAAAUUUUCCCGCCAAAAGUGCUUUGUUGCAGCGUACAUAUAUAUGUGUACGCUGCAACAAGGGUGUAAAUUAAAUUUGGCAAAAUUUCAGACUUGUUGCAGCGUACAACCUGCAAAAAGUGGAGUUUUUUGCAGCG